rnacentral:rRNA from 1 species
UACGUAGGGUCCAAGCGUUAUCCGGAAUCACUGGGCGUAAAGCGUGCGUAGGUGGCGUGUUAAGUGUGAUGUUAAAUCGUGUGGCUCAACCAUAUCGAUGUGUCGCAUACUGGCAUGCUAGAGGACAGCAGAGGCAAGUGGAAUUAGUAGUGUAGCAGUGAAAUGCGUAGAUAUUACUAGGAACACCAAAUGGCGAGGCAGCUUGCUGGGCUACUCCUG